rnacentral:rRNA from 1 species
GACGAACGCUGGCGGCGCGCUUAACACAUGCAAGUCGAGCGAAGCGGCGGACGGGUGAGUAACACGUGAGUAACCUGCCUUAGACAUUGGGAUAGCCUCGGGAAACCGGGAUUAAUACCAAAUGGUCUAAGAUGGACUCGCGUCCCAUUAGUGAGUUGGUGAGGUAACGGCCCACCAAGGCGACGAUGGGUAGCCGGCCUGAGACGGUGAACGGCCACAGUGGAACUGAGCAACGGUCCAAACUCUGCGGGAGGCAGCAGGGGUGAACAGUGCACAAUGGAGGGAACUAUGAUGCAGCGACGCCGCGGGAACGAAGAAGGCUUUCGAGCCGUAAAGUGCUUUUAUAUGGGCAGCGGUAACAUAAGAAAAAGCCCCGGCUAACUACGUGCCAGCAGCCGCGGUAAUAC